UGGGGAAUAUUGGACAAUGGGCGAAAGCCUGAUCCAGCAAUGCCGCGUGUGUGAAGAAGGCCUUAGGGUUGUAAAGCACUUUCAGUGGGGAGGAAGUUGUGUGUGAUAAUACCAUAUGCAAUUGACGUUACCCACAGAAGAAGCACCGGCUAACUCUGUGCCAGCAGCCGCGGUAAUACAGAGGGUGCAAGCGUUAAUCGGAAUUACUGGGCGUAAAGGGUGUGUAGGUGGUUGCGUAAGUUAGAUGUGAAAUCCCCGGGCUUAACCUGGGAACUGCGUUUAAAACUGCGUAGCUAGAGUAUUGCAGAGGAUAGUGGAAUUUCCAGUGUAGCGGUGAAAUGCGUAGAUAUUGGAAGGAACACCAGUGGCGAAGGCGACUAUCUGGGCAAAUACUGACACU
rnacentral:rRNA from 1 species